GUGUCAGCAGCCGCGGUAAUACAGAGGGGGCAAGCGUUGUUCGGAAUUACUGGGCGUAAAGGGCGCGUAGGCGGCCUGCUAAGUCGAACGUGAAAUCCCUGGGCUCAACCCAGGAACUGCGUCCGAUACUGGUUGGCUUGAAUCCGGGAGAGGGAUGUGGAAUUCCAGGUGUAGCGGUGAAAUGCGUAGAUAUCUGGAGGAACACCGGUGGCGAAGGCGACAUCCUGGACCGGUAUUGACGCUGAGGCGCGAAAGCCAGGGGAGCAAACGGGAUUAGAAACCCCCGUAGUCC
rnacentral:rRNA from 1 species